UACGUAGGGUGCAAGCGUUGUCCGGAAUUAUUGGGCGUAAAGGGCUCGUAGGCGGUCCAUCGCGUCGGGAGUGAAAAGCUGGGGCUUAACCCCAGUCCUGCUUUCGAUACGGGUGGACUAGAGGUAGGCAGGGGAGAGCGGAAUUCCUGGUGUAGCGGUGAAAUGCGCAGAUAUCAGGAGGAACACCGGUGGCGAAGGCGGUUCUCUGGGCAGUAACUGACGCUGAGGAGCGAAAGCGUGGGGAGCGAACAGG
rnacentral:rRNA from 1 species